rnacentral:rRNA from 1 species
GACGAACGCUGGCGGCGUGCUUAACACAUGCAAGUCGUACGGUAAGGCCCUUUCGGGGGUACACGAGUGGCGAACGGGUGAGUAACACGUGAGUAACCUGCCCACAACUUUGGGAUAACGCUAGGAAACUGGUGCUAAUACUGGAUAUGUGCUCCUGCUGCAUGGUGGGGGUUGGAGAGCUCCGGCGGUUGUGGAUGGACUCGCGGCCUAUCAGCUUGUUGGUGGGGUGUGGCCUACCAAGGCGGCGACGGGUAGCCGGCCUGAGAGGAUGACCGGCCACAUUGGGACUGAGAUACGGCCCAGACUCCUACGGGAGGCAGCAGUGGGGAAUAUUGCACAAUGGGCGCAAGCCUGAUGCAGCAACGCCGCGUGCGGGAUGACGGCCUUCGGGUUGUAAACCGCUUUCAGCAGGGACGAAGCUUUUUGUGACGGUACCUGCAGAAGAAGCACCGGCUAACUACGUG